ensembl:ncRNA ZC373.8 ncRNA
AAUCGGCUGCCAUAUUUUGUUUUCUCGUCAAACAUUCACCUCACCUGCUUGUUUUUUGUCUAGUUUUUCUUAUGUUCCGGCACCUAUUUGUUUCAUAACAUCUUACAUUGUUUCAUGAUUGCUUGAAAAAGCGUGUCGCAUGCCUGCCGGGCAAAAAUGCUAAGCUUUUUAGUGGGAGUAGUAGAGAAUGGAUAAGCUAGAAGAGGUUAAUCGAAUUUGGUCCAAUUCACACAGGCUCCAUAUGUGUGUGAGUGUGCAAGCGGUGAGGAGGUGUG